GGAUCAUUGCUGGAAGCGCCGCAAGGUGCACCCAGAAACCCUUUGUGAACUUAUACCUACAUCGUUGCCUCGGCGCUGGCUGCCCCUCCCUCGUGGAGGGGGCCCUAAACCUCUGCCCCUCGGGGCUCUGGCGCGGGACAGCAGGCCCGCCGGUGGCCUACUUAACUCUUGUUUUUACUGAGUAACUUCUGAGUAAAGCUUCUAAAUAAAUUAAAACUUUUAACAACGGAUCUCUUGGUUCUGGCAUCGAUGAAGAACGCAGCGAAAUGCGAUAAGUAAUGUGAAUUGCAGAAUUCAGUGAAUCAUCGAAUCUUUGAACGCACAUUGCGCCCUCUGGUAUUCCAGAGGGCAUGCCUGUUCGAGCGUCAUUUCAACCCUCAAGCCUAGCUUGGUGUUGGGGCACUACCUGACUGUUUUACAGGACGGUAGGCCCUGAAAUUUAGUGGCGAGCUCGCCAGGACUCCGAGCGCAGUAGUAAAACCCUCGCUUUGGACUGUACUGGCGCGGCCCUGCCGUAAAACCCCCAACUUCUGAAAAUUUGACCUCGGAUCAGGUAGGAAUACCCGCUGAACUUAAGCAUAUCAAUAAGCGGAGGAAAAGAAACCAACAGGGAUUGCCCUAGUAACGGCGAGUGAAGCGGCAACAGCUCAAAUUUGAAAGCUGGCUCCGGCCCGCAUUGUAAUUUGCAGAGGAUGCUUUUGGUGAGGUGCCUUCCGAGUUCCCUGGAACGGGACGCCAUAGAGGGUGAGAGCCCCGUAUGGAUGGACACCAAACCUGUGUAAAGCUCCUUCAACGAGUCGAGUAGUUUGGGAAUGCUGCUCAAAAUGGGAGGUAAAUCUCUUCUAAAGCUAAAUACCGGCCAGAGACCGAUAGCGCACAAGUAGAGUGAUCGAAAGAUGAAAAGCACCUUGAAAAGGGGGUUAAACAGUACGUGAAAUUGUUAAAAGGGAAGCGCUUGUGACCAGACUUGCGCCGGGCAGCUCAUCAGGGGUUCUCCCCUGUGCACUCUGCCCGGCUCAGGCCAGCAUCGGUUCUCGUGGGAGGAUAAGAACAGUAGGAAUGUGGCCCCCUCUCGGGGGGGUGUUAUAGCCUAUUGUACGAUACUCUCGUGGGGACCGAGGU
rnacentral:rRNA from 1 species